CCUACGGGAGGCAGCAGUGAGGAAUAUUGGUCAAUGGCCGGAAGGCUGAACCAGCCAUGCCGCGUGAAGGUCAGUGCCCUAUGGGCGUUAAACUUCUUUUGUGCGGGAGCAAUAAUGGUCACGUGUGGCCAGACGAGAGUACCGUACGAAUAAGCAUCGGCUAACUCCGUUCCAGCAGCCGCGGUAAUACGGGGGAUGCAAGCGUUAUCCGGAUUUAUUGGGUUUAAAGGGUGCGUAGGCUGUGAGGUAAGUCAGCGGUGAAAUGCCCCCGCGCAACGGGGUGAAGUGCCAUUGAUACUGCCUGGCUGGAAUGCGGAUGCCGUAGGAGGAAUGUGUGGUGUAGCGGUGAAAUGCAUAGAUAUCACACAGAACACCGAUUGCGAAGGCAUCUCACGAAUCCGCGAUUGACGCUGAUGCACGAAAGCGUGGGUAUCAAACAGGAUUAGAUACCCUUGUAGUC
rnacentral:rRNA from 1 species